ensembl:lncRNA
UGUGGCUGAAGAUAUUUAAACAGGCAGCCUCGGCCAGUUGGCUGAGUUACUCAGUUUCUCCUGGGUUUCUCCGUGUAUACAUGCUAUUAAACUUUGUUUGAUUUUCUCCUGCUAACCUGCCUUUUUAAUGAUUUGACCAGACGUAAGAACCUUAAGGAAAAUGGGCGGGGGGAAUUCUCGCAUUUCCCUGACAGUUUUGGUGUGGCAGCGGGAUCCCCACUGGCUGGCAAGUUGCCUUCUCUGGCAGGAAGAACUGCCUCCUGCCUGGGGCCACUGCAGAUGAGGAGAUCCCGGGUCGCCUGACGGAAGUCGGCAAAAGCUAGAUAGCACAAAGAACCUGAACUGGUCUUUGUUCCUGAUGAAGUGAACACCUGGUGGACUAAGUAUGGAAGAUGGAUGAACAACAGCUUUUUAUAUGUGAAACUUCCAGGGAAGUUUCAGAGAAGGGAACUGAUGGGGUUCAGGGCAAGCCACACCAAGAUGCACCACUCUGUUACUACCUUUGGAGCACUGAUAACGAGCAGCCUCUACAAGAAGGGUAUCAGGUUGUCAAGAGGAUUUUCAAAGUGACCCCAAAGGAAGGGUGGUCACGAUCUUGGAAGGUUAACAUCUGCCUUUGCACUCAGUUACUCUACAAAAUACCAUAAAUUGCAGCAAGGGGGAAAAAGUAAUGAGAAGUUAUCAACAACUUUAGAAUAAAAUAAUAAAAAUUAAAGGCAAGGUUAGAAUAAGACUUUAGGGUUUGUUGAUGAAUCAGUGUCUAAGAAAUUUUUCUGUGUUCCAGAAGGCCAACCCCAACAUUCUCGCCAGACUCCUACAACUAAAAUCACGUUUCUUAAUUCAUCCUUUUUAAAUAUUUGGGUCAUGUCUAAUCUCCAUCUUGGAUGUAAGAAACCAGAGGCCCCUGCGUAAUUUUCACAGAAUCAAAUGGCAUGUCUUUUAUGGAGUGGAAGCCGGGAUUAAUGACCUUUAAUUUGAACUCAGAUUAACCUUAACUCCCCAUGAGGGUAAAGUCUGGAUGGAGACAGUUUCCUAAACAUAUUUUAGUGAUUUCAUGCUGAUGUGCUAUUGCUGCUAAUGAUGAUGGUGAUAAGAUCUUUUCUUGAAAAACAUUUUAAAACUAUUUAUUGAGUGCUUACCAAAUGCUAGGCACUUGACUGAUCCCUUUACUUAAAUUAUCCCAUCGUCUUUAUAAAAACCCUGUGAAGUGGGUUUUACACCCCAUUUUACAGGAGACAAUUUUAUCUAACUUAAACUAUUAAUAUGGAAAAGUUCUAAGAUGCCAGGAAUAAAGAAACAAACACUCACAGUUGAGUUCAUAUAACUCUGUUAUGUAAUGUUGAGGUAGCAUUGAAAGGCCUGGCACUGUUCGCAACAAACCCAAUAUGUUGCUUCUCAAACUGCAGUCCUUAGAUCACUUGUAUUAAAAUUAUCUGGGGGAACUGGGAACACACAGAUUCGAAGGUUCUAGCCCAGACUUACUGAAGCAGAAGCUCUAGGGGAAACACCUAAGAAUCUGCAUUUUCAGCAAGUUUCCUUGGGUGAGGUGCUUCACAUGCAAGCUGAAAUUUGAGCACCUGCACAACAGUGGCAAUGAAACUGUUACACAGUAAAACCCCGAACAGCAGCUGCUGCAAAGAGGGAAAGUUUAAUGUUGCUUCACAGAAAGCAUUAUAACUUCUAUCACCAGAACAAUAGACGAGGGUUGUUGUUUUUAAUAUCAGAUUCAAUCUAAAAGUCUUUUUUCUGGUCCAAAGCUUAUUCCCAUUGCUGGAUCAGUGUUCAGGAGAGAAACGAAAGAAAUACAGAGACAGAGCUAACUUGCCACUCAAAAAGAGACUGAGACUAGAUUUUUGCUGACUAUACUGAAAUACAACUUUCUUGAGAAUAGUUAAUGGAGAUACUUUCUAGUGAAAUAGAAUCUUUGAUCAAAUACUGGCUGAUCUUAGCUUAAAAUUAAAGGCACGUGGGGCCAGCCCAGUGGCAUAGUGGUUAAGUCUGUGUGCUCCACUUUGGCGGCCAAGAGUUUAUGGUUCUGAUCCCAGGGACAGGCCUACACACGACUCAUCAAGCCAUGCUGUGGCAGUGUCCCACAUACAAAAUAGAGGAAGAUUGUCACAAAUGUUAGCUUAGGUACAAUCUUCCUCACCACAUAAAACAAAAAAUUAAAGACACGAAAACUCUCAGUCUUUCAUCACCUGGUAAGGGACACAGACAGUUAUAGUGUUCAGGUACUGCCCUUGAGAACCCCUGGGUAAAAUUUUCACCUGUUCCUAAUGAUGAAGCUCAGCAGUUAAUUCCAGAACCACGCUGUAUUUUUUGUAUUUGCUGUGCAUAAUUAAUUAUGCUGAAGUUAAAUGUUUACUAAAUGUACAUAGUUCUUAUUCUAGGGUGGGUUAUGGGAAUCCACAAUCCUUUUUUGUCACCUUCCUAAAGUCUAUAUGUAGAGACCCCUUUAAAUGUUCCUGGUGAACGUAAGUGGGCCAUUUACGUCCCAGUUACCAGCUGUAUUCCAGGCCCUGACAAUCAAGCAGGUAGAGUAAGUCAGCAGCAUCUUAAGAGAAUGGUUUCCUACCCUGUAUUAUUUCUCCCUAUACUAUCCUCUUUUUUGCCAACAGGUCUCAUCAGGCUACAAUUUAAUAUGAGGAUAGAGUGAAAGGAGUAGUUUUUUUCAAAUUUAGUGAAGAGUUUUGUGACUUAAUUCCGUUAUAUUUCUUAAGCUCUGAAUUGUAUUUAUAGUACACUUGAUUCCUCACCCACUGGGUGUAAUAAAACAGCUGUGUUACAAACUACAAAAACAUUGUGCUAUUUGGGAACCAGAUAGUGGGGAUGGUUGCACAACAUUGUGGAUGUACCUGAUGCCACUGAAUUGUAUACUUUAAUAUGGUUAAAUUAGUAAAUUUUGUUUUUGUGUGUUUCACCACAAUAAAAAAUUAAUUCAGACAUGUAAAAGGCAAAUUGGAACCUGCUUCUGAUGGCUUCCAGCUUGAUCUCUACGUAGUGGGUGUGUGUGUGUGUGGGGGGGUGUUACUUAGCUCUUCAUCCUUGUUUUCUUGAUUUUUAUCAGAUUAUCAACCUGA